rnacentral:rRNA from 1 species
AUUGAACGCUGGCGGCAGGCUUAACACAUGCAAGUCGAGCGGGGGAAGGUAGCUUGCUACCGGACCUAGCGGCGGACGGGUGAGUAAUGCUUAGGAAUCUGCCUAUUAGUGGGGGACAACAUCUCGAAAGGGAUGCUAAUACCGCAUACGUCCUACGGGAGAAAGCAGGGGAUCUUCGGACCUUGCGCUAAUAGAUGAGCCUAAGUCGGAUUAGCUAGUUGGUGGGGUAAAGGCCUACCAAGGCGACGAUCUGUAGCGGGUCUGAGAGGAUGAUCCGCCACACUGGGGCUGAGACACGGCCCAGACUCCUACGGGAGGCAGCAGUGGGGAAUAUUGGACAAUGGGGGGAACCCUGAUCCAGCCAUGCCGCGUGUGUGAAGAAGGCCUUAUGGUUGUAAAGCACCUUAAGCGAGGAGGAGGCUACUUUAGUUAAUACCUAGAGAUAGUGGACGUUACUCGCAGAAUAAGCACCGGCUAACUCUGUGCCAGCCGCCGCAGUAA